rnacentral:rRNA from 1 species
AUUGAACGCUGGCGGCAUGCCUAACACAUGCAAGUCGAGCGGAGCGGCGGACGGGUGAGUAAUGCCUAGGAAUCUACCUGGUAGUGGGGUAUAACGUCCGGAAACGGGCGCUAAUACCGCAUACUUGCAGGUGAGCCUAGGUCGGAUUAGCUAGUUGGUGGGGUAAAGGCUUACCAAGGCGACGAUGCGUAACUGGUCUGAGAGGAUGAUCAGCCACACUGGAACUGAGACACGGCCCAGACUCCUACGGGAGGCAGCAGUGGGGAAUCUUCGACAAUGGGCGAAAGCCUGAUCCAGCCAUGCCGCGUGUGUGAAGAAGGUCUUCGGAUUGUAAAGCACUUUAGGUUGGGAAGCGGUACCAACAGAAUAAGCAACGGCUAACUACGUGCCAGCAGCCGCGGUAAUAC